rnacentral:rRNA from 1 species
UACGGAGGGUGCGAGCGUUGUCCGGAAUCAUUGGGCGUAAAGGGCGCGUAGGUGGCCCGGUCAGCGUGCGGUGAAAGCUCGGGGCUCAACCCCGAGUCGGCCGUGCGAACUGCUGGGCUGGAGCACUGUAGAGGCAGGCGGAAUUCCUGGUGUAGCGGUGAAAUGCGCAGAUAUCAGGAGGAACACCGGUGGCGAAGGCGGGUCUCUGGGCCGAUACUGACGCUGAGGAGCGAAAGCGUGGGGAGCGAACAGG